rnacentral:rRNA from 1 species
CCUACGGGAGGCAGCAGUGGGGAAUCUUGCGCAAUGGGCGAAAGCCUGACGCAGCCAUGCCGCGUGAAUGAUGAAGGUCUUAGGAUUGUAAAAUUCUUUCACCGGGGACGAUAAUGACGGUACCCGGAGAAGAAGCCCCGGCUAACUUCGUGCCAGCAGCCGCGGUAAUACGAAGGGGGCUAGCGUUGCUCGGAAUUACUGGGCGUAAAGGGAGCGUAGGCGGAUAGUUUAGUCAGAGGUGAAAGCCCAGGGCUCAACCUUGGAAUUGCCUUUGAUACUGGCUAUCUUGAGUAUGGGAGAGGUAUGCGGAACUCCGAGUGUAGAGGUGAAAUUCGUAGAUAUUCGGAAGAACACCAGUGGCGAAGGCGGCAUACUGGCCCAUUACUGACGCUGAGGCUCGAAAGCGUGGGGAGCAAACAGGAUUAGAUACCCUGGUAGUCCACGCUGUAAACGAUGAGUGCUAGUUGUCGGCAUGCAUGCAUGUCGGUGACGCAGCUAACGACAUUAAGACACUCCGCCCGUCGGGGAGGGUACGGGUCGCGAAGAAUUAAAACUAACGAAAGGAAAGUUAGACGGCGUGAGACGUGCCCGAACGGACCGACCGACCGAACGGGGAAGGUUAGGG